AUUGAACGCUGGCGGCAGGCCUAACACAUGCAAGUCGAACGGUAGCACAGAGGAGCUUGCUCCUCGGGUGACGAGUGGCGGACGGGUGAGUAAUGUCUGGGUAUCUGCCCGAUAGAGGGGGAUAACCACUGGAAACGGUGGCUAAUACCGCAUAACGUCGCAAGACCAAAGAGGGGGACCUUCGGGCCUCUCACUAUCGGAUGAACCCAGAUGGGAUUAGCUAGUAGGCGGGGUAACGGCCCACCUAGGCGACGAUCCCUAGCUGGUCUGAGCGGAUGACCAGCCACACUGGAACUGAGACACGGUCCAGACUCCUACGGGAGGCAGCAGUGGGGAAUAUUGCACAAUGGGCGCAAGCCUGAUGCAGCCAUGCCGCGUGUAUGAAGAAGGCCUUCGGGUUGUAAAGUACUUUCAGCGGGGAGGAAGGCGAUGUGGUUAAUAACCGCAUUGAUUGACGUUACCCGCAGAAGAAGCACCGGCUAACUCCGUGCCAGCAGCCGCCGUAA
rnacentral:rRNA from 1 species